GGCAGACGGGAGAGUAACACGUUGGGAACGUGCCCCUUCAGUCCGGAACUAACCCAGGGGAAACUUGGGCUAAUUACCGGAUACGUGCCGUAAGUGAAAAAUGAUUUAUCUGCUGAACGGGAUCGGCCCGCUGUCUGAUUAGUCUUGUCUGGUGAAGGUGAACGGCUCACCAAGGCGACGAUCAGUAGCUGGUCUGAGAGGAUGAUCAGCCUCACUGGGACUGAGACACGGCCCAGACUCAUACGGGAGGCAGCAGUGGGGAAUAUUGGACAAUGGGCGCAAGCCUGAUCCAGCCAUGCCGCGUGGGUGAUGAAGGCCUUAGGGUUGUAAAGCCCUUUCGGCGGGGAAGAUAAUGACGGUACCCGCAGAAGAAGCCCCGGCUAACUUCGUGCCAGCCGCCGCGG
rnacentral:rRNA from 1 species